AGCACCCUGUGCUGGCAGAGGGAGAAAUGUGAGCCUCUGCUGCGCCAGGAACAGGCUUUGUACAAACUCUCUGGUUUCAAGUUGUGCGUCGGGAGUCUCUGGGAAGGUGCCCCAGGGACAAAGCUCGCUUUUGGAGGGCCCUGAGGAUUGAUGAGAAUCCCAAGUCCCCAGCACACAGAGGGCAAGCAGAUGUCCUGUGGGCAUGGUAGAGGACAGAGAUCCAGGCCUGAAGAGCUGUCGCAGCCCUUGUUGUGCUGACUGAUCUGAGCAUAUCAGGCCCAACCUCAUGGAGGUACUGGAACUUUUCUGCAAGACCUCUGUAGGCCUCCUCGGGCCCUGCUGCCCACUGCACAGGUGGAAGUGGAGCCCUCAUCCAGUAACUGAUGGAACCAGACACAGAGAUCCGCAACCAAGCACCAGGCCGAGCUCCCGGAAUCUGGUCAAAGAGAGGGAGAAGAGAAUAUAUGAGCAAAGGAGGUCAAGAUUAUGAUGGAGAAAUCUAAAGAUACAGCUGAACCAAGCUCAUGGAAACUCAUGAACUCUAGACCAGCAGCUGGGGAGGCUCCAGGGGACCGAACUAGGCCCUCCAUAUGUGGGAGGCAGUUGUGAAGUUUGGACUGUCUGAGGGGCCCCUGGCAGUAGGACCAUGAUACAAUCCUGGUACAUGAGCUAGCUUGUUGGAGCCCAUUUCCUAUGGGGGGACACCAUGCUCAGCGUUAAUCAUGGGAUAGGGGAUUGGUCCUCCCCCAACCUACUGUGCCAGACUUUGUUGACUCCUCAUGGGAGGAGUGAACUCGGGGUGGGCUG